CCUUAAUGUAUUGUAAGACCCCCUUUCCCCUUUCGGGGACCCCCACUCUAGUCUUGGGAGAGAGAGUGCACCCAAAGAAACACUAGAAUCC
rnacentral:pre_miRNA from 7 species